rnacentral:rRNA from 1 species
GAUGAUCCGCCACACUGGGACUGAGACACGGCCCAGACUCNUACGGGAGGCAGCAGUGGGGAAUAUUGGACAAUGGGCGCAAGCCUGAUCCAGCCAUGCCGCGUGUGUGAAGAAGGCCUUAUGGUUGUAAAGCACUUUAAGCGAGGAGGAGGCAACUGCAGUUAAUACCUUCAGAUAGUGGACGUUACUCGCAGAAUCAGCACCGGCUAACUCUGUGCCAGCAGCCGCGGUAACACAGAGGGUGCAAGCGUUAAUCGGAUUUACUGGGCGUAAAGCGCGCGUAGGCGGCAUAAUAAAGUCAAAUGUGAAAUCCCCGAGCUUAACUUGGGACUUGCAUUCGAUACUGGUUAGCUAGAGUGUGGGAGAGGAUGGCAGAAUUCCAGGUGUACCGGUGAAAUGCGUAGAGAUCUGGAGGAAUACCGAUGGCCAAGGCCGCCAUCUGGCCUAACCCUGACGCUGAGGGGCGAAAGCAUGGGGAGCAAACAGGAUUAGAUACCCUGGUAGUCCAUGCCGUAAACGAUGUCUACUAGCCGUUGGGGCCUUUGAGGCUUUAGUGGCGCAGCUAACGCGAUAAGUAGACCGCCUGGGGAGUACGGGCGCAAGACUAAAGCUCAAAUGAAUUGACGGGGGCCCGCACAAGCGGUGGAGCAUGUGGUUUAAUUCGAUGCAACGCGAAAAAC